CUGGCUGCAAAAAUAAGUCAGUUUCUAUAGAAGACUAUGGGAAAAGACCCUACUUAUCACUUAAUUUAUUACCUCAAACAUUUUCAUGACGUGUUUACUGCCUUAAUUACUAGUUUUAAGUCUUCUUCAAUAGAGCAUAAUGUUCAUUUUGUAAAUUAGGGUCCCAUUUAUUUUAAAAUUGACAAAGCAGGGGAUGUUUUAGGGGCGUGGCUACAUCGUUUUUCAUCUCAGA